UUAGGUGACUGGAACUGUGUAAGGCAAUGGGGAUUGGAGUAAGAAACACUGCCUGGCUAUAAGGAGCUCCCUGCCUAUGGGAAGAGAUAGGCACAGGAACAUUCAUGACAUGAUAAAGGAGAACAAUACAUACAAGGCACUGUAAGAGCACAGGGGAGGGGUAUCCAGGCAAGCCUGAGCUGGCAAGACAAUCAAAGAAAGCCUCCUACAUCUGAGUAUUAAAGAGAUCAUGGGAAAUGAGAUUGUACCAAAUGGGAGCCCCCAGGAUAGAUUAUUAUGCACGUGAUGGAAAGAGGGGCAUCUUGGCAGAAAACACAGUACAGAGUCAGGAGAGCAGCAAGCUAACUGAGGAAUGAUACGCAAUAAAUGGAAAGUGAAAUAUAUAACACAGGAAACUAUUAAAAUGAGAAUGAAGAAGCUGGAUAAAAUGACAGGUGAGACCCCCUUUCAGCUUCCAAAGCUGUGAU